AUGGCAGAAGAUAGCCACAUGCAGAAGCAGCUGGAUUCCAAAAUGGUAGCUUAGAGGAAGGAUUUGCUGCAACGUUCCCUGGAGAACGAGCCCCAAAACUGAUGUAGAGCCUAAGCCCGAGGAAAUAUUCAUCAAGUCUGAAGUUUAAAGAAGCCAAUGGGAUUAUUCUGGCUCAUAUUUAACCCUUUCCAACCCUUGUCUACCAAGAGAAGCCUUCUCCUUUGGGUACCAGCGUCCGGAGCAGUCCCUCCUUGGCCAAAAUCCAGGGAAGCAAACAGUUCUGUGAUGGAGUUGAUAAAAAUAUUUCCAUGAAACUCCUAUUUCUUUCCUCAGCUCUACAUCCUCUCUUGGCGGCUAUCCGCUAUGGAAAGCAGAUUUGGAUAUUAUAGCGGUGCGAGACAGUGAGAGGUCCUCCCAGGCCUCCUCAGAGAAGCCUCCCUAUUCCAAUACAGCUCUAGGAAUAAAUCACACGACAGCGUCUACUUUCUAGGGGGGCUGGAAGGAAGAAAAAGCCUCUGGCUCGCUCCUGACCAUGUGGAAUGGAAAUUCCUUGAGUGGCACGGGCUCCGCACCCAUCAGCAGGUCUGGGGCAAGCGAGCAUGCCUUCAAGCCCAAAGCAAGCCAGGAAGAUGAACCUUCAGGACAACAUGACGCUUCAGCCCAGGUUAAGCAGGCACAAGGAGCCAGCCUCUGAAAACGUCAGUGUGAGAACAAGGAAAUACUCAGGGAGCAGUCUGAGUAACAUGGGUGCCUACAGCCGAUCUCUUCCCAGGUUGUAUAAAGCCACAGACAACCAGAUGUCCCCUCUCAGCCUGCCGCCAAGAAAUUCCCUGGGCAAUUCCAGACGAAGUCAAUUAGGAGAAAAGGAGCUACCUCAUAGUCUAGUGGAUAAUGACAAUUACCUUAACUUUUCUUCUCUAAGCUCAGGGGCUUCACCCUAUAAAGCCUGCCUGUCAGAGGGAAAUCCUUACGUAAGCUCCGCCCUCAGUGUCCCUGCCAGCCCUCGAGUGGCUCGGAAGAUGCUCCUGGCCUCCACCUCCUCUGAUUGACUUUGAUAGGGCUUCAUACUCAGGGACCAGCCCAAGUCAUUCCUUCAUUUCUGGAGAGCCAGACCGAGUGCUUUUGGCCAGGAGGAACUUCUCUUGUGGAUCAAUGGAGCUUGAUGACUCUGAUCUGGAAAGCCUAAGACAGUCGUCAGAAACUCCACAGCCAGUCCUUCGAGAACGGAAAAGUAGCAUCAGCUCCAUCUCAGGACGCGACGACCUGAUGGACUAUCACCGACGACAGAGGGAGGAGAGACUCAGGGAGCAGGAGAAUGGAGCGACUGGAGCGGCAGCGACUGGAGACCAUCCUCAGUCUCUGUGCUGAGUACACGAAGCCCGAAGGUCGCCGCCUGUCCGCUGGCACCACGGUGGCUGAUGUGCAGAAAAUCAACAAAGAGCUUGAGAAGCUGCAGCUGUCGGAUGAGGAGUCUGUGUUCGAGGAGGCUCUGGUGUGCCCGGACGCCAGGUACAGGUGCCACAGGAAGGGCUCUCUCCAGGAUGUUGACGUUGCUGGCUUCGGGAGCCUGGGUCACAGUGCCAGCUUCCUGGCCCCCAGGGGCAGCAGAAACGAUGAACUGCUUGGUGACCUCACCAGGACACCCCCAUCAUCCUCGGCAGCAUUUCUGAAAGCAACCAAUGAGUCCUCCUACCUCAGUAUCCUACCGAAGACCCCAGAGGAUAUAAGUGAGGAACAGAGGACUCAGGAGUUGGCUGCAAUGGAAGAUGCCCGGAUGGUGAUUCUGAACAACCUUGAGGAACUUGAGCAGAAAAUCAAAGAUAUAAAUGACCAAAUGGAUGAAUCUUCCCGAGAGUUGGAUAUGGAAUGCGCUCUUUUGGAUGGAGAACAGAAAUCCGAGACGGCUGAGCUCAUGAAGGAAAAGGAGAUUCUAGAUCAUCUAAACCGGAAGGAAAUCACAGAACUAGAAAAGAACAUCGUAGGCGAGAAGACCAAGCAAGCAGAGGUAGAGCUCAUAGAUCAAACUGUCUGUGUGUCCACCUAUGGGAUCAUCACCUCUCGGAUGCUCUGUGCAGGGGUUAUGUCUGGCAAGAGUGACGCCUGCAAAGUGGUCAACAGUGAAAGGCCAGAGGCGUUUUUGGGAGAGUGUUCUGAAAGUCAAACUUUUCAGUCCCUGUCUUCUGUCCUGAGAAAUACAAACAUAUGGGGGACGAACAUCGUGCUGACUGCCCUUCCCACUCUCAGCGAUACUGAUACUGCCCCUAUGCCGGAAUCAGAGUGGAAGGGGAACUUUGGGGCUGUGUAUUAUUCAUCUCCGUGA